rnacentral:rRNA from 1 species
CUCAAAGGAAUUGACGGGGGCCCGCACAAGCGGAGGAACAUGUGGUUUAAUUCGAUGAUACGCGAGGAACCUUACCUGGGCUUAAAUGUAGAUUGCAUAACUUAGAAAUAGGUUUUCCCUUCGGGGCUAUUUACAAGGUGCUGCAUGGUUGUCGUCAGCUCGUGCCGUGAGGUGUCGGGUUAAGUCCCAUAACGAGCGCAACCCCUAUCGUUAGUUGCCAGCGGAUAAUGCCGGGGACUCUAGCGAGACUGCCACCGUAAGGUGAGAGGAAGGUGGGGAUGACGUCAAAUCAGCACGGCCCUUAUGUCCAGGGCUACACACGUGUUACAAUGGCCGAUACAAAGGGCAGCUACCAGGUGACUGGAUGCUAAUCUCAAAAGUCGGUCCCAGUUCGGAUUGGAGUCUGCAACCCGACUCCAUGAAGUUGGAUUCGCUAGUAAUCGCGCAUCAGCCAUGGCGCGGUGAAUACGUUCCCGGGCCUUGUACACACCGCCCGUCAAACCAUGGGAGCUGGGGGUGCCUGAAGUCUGCCACCGCAAGGAGCGGCCUAGGGUAAAACUACUGACUGGGGUUAAUCGUAACAAGUACCGUACCGGAAGUGUGGCUGAUCACUCUUUCUAGAGUGGAGAU